AACGAACGCUGGCGGCAUGCCUAACACAUUCAAGUCGAACGAGACCUUCGGGUCUAGUGGCGCACGGGUGCGUAACGCGUGGGAACCUGCCCUUAGGUUCGGAAUAACUCCCCGAAAGGGGUGCUAAUACCGGAUAAUGUCUUCGGACCAAAGAUUUAUCGCCUUUGGAUGGGCCCGCGUUGGAUUAGCUAGUUGGUAGGGUAAAAGCCUACCAAGGCGACGAUCCAUAGCUGGUCUGAGAGGAUGAUCAGCCACACUGGGACUGAGACACGGCCCAGACUCCUACGGGAGGCAGCAGUGGGGAAUAUUGGACAAUGGGCGAAAGCCUGAUCCGGCAAUGCCGCGUGAGUGAUGAAGGCCUUAGGGUUGUAAAGCUCUUUUACCCGGGAUGAUAAUGACAGUACCGGGAGAAUAAGCUCCGGCUAACUCCGUG
rnacentral:rRNA from 1 species